GUUGUUGUUUAUGUAAGAAUUUCAAGGCCACAACUCCAUAUUUGAAGUAAAGUGCUCAUAAAAUUAAUUGCAAGUAGGUGUAGUCCUUCCUUAGCCUGCUUUUUAAUGAGUGCUGCUAAAGCCCUUAGCCUGCCUGUUUACCCUUGGAGGACACUUGUGAUUACACUGGGCCCACCUGGAAAAUUCAGGAAAAUCUUCGUAUUUUAAAGUCAGCUGGCUAGCAACUCUAAUUCCGUUGGCUACCUUACUUCUCAUUUGCUGUGCAGGGUAACACAGUCACAGUUUCCAGUGGAGCAAUGAACUGAAGAUAUUUGAGUGAGUUCAAGAGAGACUCAGAAGAGAAGAAUUGGAGGCAGCAAACAUAGACAGCACUUUUAAUGCUUUUCUCAUAUGCUGUAAGACAUGAAAGCAAUCUAUUGGGAUGAAAGCUGAAAGGAGAAGCGGGACAAGAGAAGUGAAUCCGUGGAAGACCCCCAAAAGAGGCUGCAGAUUCUUAGUGGACAGCUCUCAUAUCCCCUCCAGGGAAAAUGAUGAAAAAUGUCUUCAGAAAAAUAGCUUUAUGAAGGCAAGAGGACUUUUUGCACCUGCAAGACAUGUCUGAAAGCUUCCAUCAGAUUCUUGUAAGUACCUCACUUGGCACAAGGUAGACAUGACGUUCAAGGAAGUCAACUGCGUUGCCCAAGAGUAAGAGAAGGAAUCUCUGAAGAAGAGCAACUUUUCAGACAGGUAGAGUGUGCCUUGCUCCCAAGGAAAAGAGUUCUUGAAAAAAACAAAUGGGAAACAUGGCUACAAGAAAACUGGGAAGACUGCAAGAAAAUCUCAGAAUCUGCUUGAGAAUCCGGUCCUUCUUCCUCCAUACACCCAUGGAACACUCCCAAACUCUGUAUGCUGCUCACUAAUUCUGAUUAAGGUCUUCACCCUCCCUACCUUGGAAAUUGCUACAACAUAAUUGUGUUUGUAUGUAUAAUUAAUAUAUACAAUACAUUUUAAAUGAAUAAC
ensembl:lncRNA LRRC77P leucine rich repeat containing 77, pseudogene